AGGGAUGUCUGAAUUAGAGAUCGGUCAUUCCAUUUUUUAUAUUUAUUUAAGAGGUUUAUUAUGUCUCUAACUGUAGAAGCUAAAGCGAAAAUCGUUGCUGAAUAUGGUCGUGGUACU
rfam:Gilliamella sp. N-G2 NODE_2, whole genome shotgun sequence.